UUUAAAACAUAGAAACCGUAACUGCACAACUUAAAACAUCCAAUUACAGAAGCCACACUUCCUUGAGAGGAUAGAUGCAAUUUUGUGUUACAUGUAGAGGAUCGUGUAUACCUGCCUCUUACAAGUGCACAGAAAGCUUAGUGAAAAAUUGCCUUUACUUAAAAUAGCUAACAGUGUAUCAAAUUAUACAACAGUUAAGGGCAGUUCUUGGUUUUUUGGACUGUUUAAAAAUAUUACACUUGCAAUCAUUCUUUCGGUCUGAAUUUCAGCACGACCCACUGCCGUAUCACAGCUGUGCUUCAAAACCACAGCACUCUUAAUCGUGUGAUAAUGAAAUAUUCAAUUCAGCAUGCGAGACACAAUGUAAUUAUCCUUUAGUUUUUAAUGAAUCUCAAUUAGCAAUAGUCCCAUUCUUCUCAUUACAGAGAACUUUCUUCUUCAUUUAAUAAACACUCCAUAUGCUUUAGGAAGACAUGCAUUUAUGAUUUAUUAUGUCUCAUCUAGUGAAAAUCACACUCGUGUAGUCCCUCCUGAGCACAUCACCUGGAAAAUGCAGCCAUGUUUGCAUAGCUUCUGUUUACUUUUGGUGUUCGACUGAUUAGUAAUAUGGGGGUAUGAUGGAUUCCAGCAUUAUCAUCCAUUCUCAUCCUGAACUUGUAACUGUGUGAGCCAGGGGCCACAUUCCCAGAGUGCCUAACGCCUGUUUGUGAAUUCAGAAUACAACAUGCCUUGCUGUUUUCAACUGUUUUCUUGUAAUCAGUUUACCACUCACCUAUCUCUUAAUCUGUUUAAUUCUUCACAAAUGACAGCGGUUUUAAGAAGUCAUUUGUUCUGCUGUGAUUCAAGGACAUUUGAAAACAAGAAAAUAAGUGAUUAAUUAAAAAAUUUGAGUGAAAUCUUUGUGGAAAUGGCAUUUGAAACAAGGAGAUAUAUAUAAUAAGUGGAAAAAUCUACUACAAUAGCACUAUAUAACGGAUAUAGACUUCUUUUUUUUUUAUUGGAAAUAUUUCCAAAUGUGUUUACUAUAUCAGGAAAUAUGGCGAUUCUCAAACAUGUGUAAGUAAAUGCGUUUUGCACCAGAUUGUUAUUUGAUCUAUAAUCUGUGAUGUGCAAAGUAGAGUAAUGUUGUAAUCUUUUAACGACACACAAAAACCCAACUUUUUUAUUUAAGUAUGCCUACCAGAUAUGGGUGUCAUGCCAUAAAAUAUUUUUAAUAUGACUGACUUUGUAUUUAAUAACAAUAUUGUAAGUUACUAUAUUAUAGCAUUUUCAUUUUAUAGAGAGUAAAGAACAUUUACAUUAUCAAAUAACAUUUUCACUUCAGUCUAGCUAGACUUCAAGCACUAUCAAAAACUCCCAUUUAAAUCACUGAAGCUGUUUACAUUGUGAAAUUAAUAUAUUCCAAUCGUAUGCACAUCUACACAGUCAGCAAGCAAGUGAACAAAACAACGCAUUCAGCAAUGACUCAUCUGAACGCCUGAACGCCUCUGAUUGGCCAUUGCAUUCAUAAGCUCAAAAGAAUUGCAUGUGAUUGGUUAUAAUGCAGCGACGUACAAACGCAUCUGUCUCUGGCUCAGCGGCAGCCAAAGCGCGAAUGUAGAUUUGAAUUUAGCAGCUGAUGCUGUGCCACACGUUAGGAUUUAAUCACACCAGUUGGAUUGUAUUAAAUAUAAGAAAUAUUAUUCUGCUAUUUUUUGUCUUUUGGAAGCUGCCUUUAAAAUCCACUUGGCUCAGAGAUCUAAGGGGGCACGUGCCCUCUCAUUUUGAAUGGGCAUGAUGCCUCUGGUACUGUUUGUAUUUCACAUUUCACAUAUUCACAACAAAUUUGAUUUAGUCCCAGUCUUGCCCCCCCCCCCUUUUUUUUUUUUUGGCUAUGCACCAAAAGCAGUGAAGACUAUAUUAUGAUUGAAGAGUCAAUUAAUGCAGUCAGACUAAAAAUUCAAAGGUUUGACAGUGAUACAAUGACACCAUCUGCUUGCAGGAGUGCACUUGCACUCUCUUAUUCUCUGCCAUUAUGGUAACACUACAAACUUGGCAAGUCGACUGAGGGAUUUGUUCUGGAAACCAAAGAUAAUUGCAGGGCUGUAGACAACAGCAUCCAACUGACAGAUGCUUGUCAAUGUAACUGCGUUUUCUUGAGGUCACUGCCAACAUUACCUGAUGUGUUUCAGCCUACAGUUUAUGAGCUGUCUUACUUGUGUGUGAUAAUGUUCUUGUAUUGGCAGAUGUUGGUGAAAAAGCAAAAAAAUGUAUCAGAAUUAAUUGUGUGAAGAAUCCACAAAAUGUUUGUAUUUCUCCCUCUCUUUUCUUUCCCCACCAGUGUUGAACUCAUUUCCAUGGAUCUGAACAGAGCUGAUCUUGACAGAACAUCGCUGCAGGGCACAGAUGACCACUGCGUAUCCAUCUUGUCUAGAUGAAAUCUGAACAGUGUCAUAUGAGAAGGACCUCACCCUGGAUUGGCUUAUUUAGAUCACAUACUGUAGAAGGUCCAAGCAGAUACAUUUCUUCAGAGACCCAUAAAUUCAAUAUUGCAUUAUGGUGGACAAAAAAAUAAAGGACAUAAUUGGAUUAAAUGGCUGUUGAAGAUGGAGUAUAUUUUGUCAAAGUAUGUAAUCUACGCUAUGUCACCUCAUUGACAGCUAAAAGGGAGGGUUUAACGUGGUGCAUACAAUCUUGAUAGAUCUACAACCACUUGCAACUAAAUACUUAUAUCUUUAUGCAACACACAGUUUUGCUUGUACUUUUGAUGUUAUAAAAGCAGCUUGUUUCUGUGCUUUCUGACACUGUGACAUCUGUGAACAUAUGACUCAGUUUGCUCUGCGUAUGUCAUUACUAGCAGUGUUGAAAUACAGUACAGCACAAAUUACCCAUCAGAACCUGUGCUUUCAAAGCCUGAGGCUUCAAAAAUUAUUUACCAGUAAGACAAUACAUACAUUAAGUGAAUUUCACACAAAUGCACAUCAUAAUGGAAAUGUGUGUAAUCAAAAUCUUUAAUAGACAACAUUCUCAUUAAUGCUUUGAGAUCCUUAGCUGAAUGUGUUUUUGAGCUUUUUCUUCUUGCAGUGAACAUUUUAAAACAUCCAAUCAUGUUUUUUAAAAUGCCCCUGAGGUUAUCAAUACAGCUCAAACUGAAUUUUAAAAUUCAAUUUCCUUAUGACUGUACAAAUGAAACGGCAUCUUUUUGGAGGAUUUGGAAAGCUUGUAGGAUUCAGUACAUACACCUAAAAACAAUCACUAGAUUGUACAGAAUUGUCUAUAGAUUUGUCAAAUAAGAGUUUGCACAGCAAAUUUUGUAUAGUCAUAAAUAUUUUGAAUAAACCAUUUUAUAUAUAAAAACAACUUGAAACCGGUUUGAUGCCAGUUUCACUCAGCAGUUGUCAGCAAAUCUUUCUGUCAUCAUCUCUCUGUGCCAAUAUAGGGAAUAAAGAAAUGCUUUUAUUUAGUUAUUUUGCUUACUUGGAAGACCAGGUACUGAGACUCAAUAGUGGGACUGAACUCACCCACAAUAAAUUCUCUCAUGUAUUGUAACAAAUCAUGACCAGUAACAAGGUUUUAUACAGUGUACUUCACAGUACAUAAUAAAGCUUUUAAACACACCAA